AGAAUUCAAUAAUGUGAAUGUUUGACAGAAGGAUUUCGAUAUUUUAUUAAAAUGAUAAUCGAGAGAAUCGAACUGUACAUUUUGCUAUCUUCACAUGGUUGAUCCGCAUAAAUUCAUAUAAAUGUAUCUAGGUGGCGCAGAGAAAAGUAAUGUGUUUUUAAAACGACAAACGUACACUUAUAAUGAAGAAACAUUCUUCAUUAUUAUAACCGACGUUUUAUCAGUGAGAAAAGAAUCGGUUGAUGUCAGAUCGAUUAGUGACAUUGUGUGUAAGUAAGAAAUUACGAUGAAUCUUGAAAGUCUCGGGGCAGAUAGCUGAAUAAAAAUCUAAUUUUCAAGUAUCUGUCGACAUGUCUUGUAUCACUAACGUAUGAGCUGCGUGCACCUCCAUUUUUCGCAGUUAAACGUUCAUUUCUUUCAAAUAUAAUAGAGCCAGCUUUCUCGCUGAAAUUAAUAUCUCUCGGUCAUCAUCAACAUGAAUUUUCCACGGAGAAGUCAUCGUCCCACGGUAGAAACAUCUGAUAUCUGUUACCCUGUUGAAAUUGCAAGGGGUGGUGCGGCGAGGGGAACGAAAACAAAAAAAGAGAAAAUACCAAGAAAGAAAGAAAGGAAAAAAAGAAAUUAGAAAUAUCCGAGCGAAGUUUUCAAUUCCAAAGGAAAUUUUUUAUCUUCGUUCGAAAUGUUAGAUUUAUCGAGAUUGGACGUGACCUGAAGUACAAUAUAUUAUUCAAAUAAUACAGAGUUUAAUCAUAGUCCAAAAUUAUGGAUUGUGCAUCAAUUGUUUGUCGAGGAAGAUAUUUCACAUCCGAUUUAGAUUUACGUAUGUGUAGAUAGAAUGAUAAGUUGAAUCGAUUCUAUGUUAUUAAUCUAGGACGCUAAUUCUAGCGUACACGAAAGUAUUUUCCACGAGAAUACUUGUUUUGUUACUAUAACGAUUGGAAAUGAGUCUAAAGUUAAUGUUAAAUUACUAGAUAAUUUUUUACGUUCCUCUAUUUUUUUUUUUCUCUCAAUUCUUUAAUACAUAUUUUUCUUUCACUCUCUAACACACAGACUGUUUAAUUUAGUAUCGUUAAAGAACUUUUUAUUGGUCAUUUGCCACUUGUGAAGUUCUUCUUCUAUUAUUAAUUACUUAAACUUUAUUAGUCAAGUUUUGAUCGUUCAAACUUAGUUUAAUGAAUGUAGAUUUUAUAGAAUUUACACAUGAAAUUGUUAAGGUAGGAAUAUAUAUAUAUACAGGAGGAAAGAUUUUACGUUGUAUUUUAAAUAAUUUAUUUUUAACAGAGAAUUACUCAUUUAAUUUUUAACAAUGUAUGUCCAUAGGUUGUCUGCUAGAACAUUCAAUUGAUCGGAAUGAGAAAGUAUCACAUUGAUUGCUUUGCCUAUUAAAAAUUCUUUUUCAUUGGAGACUGCAAUUGACAGAGAGUUUGAUACUUAAUUAUUGAUUUUACAUCAGAUUUAUGGCUAUGCAUGUUUGAAUCUGAAAUGUUUGACAAUUUUUUCUUCUUUUAUUUGUAUAAAAGUACUCUUUUAUCAGUGUAAUAGUAUCUGUAUUUCAAAUAAAUCUCUAAUGAUUGAUUUUAUAGAGA